UGUUUCAUUUCUCCAAAAAGAACUGCUGAUAAAAUUUUAUUAGCAGUAGAAUGUAGAAACCACUCUAUUUUUGUUUUUCAUCAAAGUAUACAUGCAAGAGAAAUCACAUAUUGUUGGCAUGUUAGUGUCGAAAGAGAUCCCCAAUUGAAGGAAGUGAGAAAAUCAUGGCAAUGAACUUUUUAUACAUAUUCAGUAUUGUGUGUAUUAUAUAACAUAUUACUUAAAUCUGUUAUGAUUUGUAUUUGCAGAGGUACGUACAUGGCUGACAUAGGAAAGGUAUGGCCUGUGCUGAUUUGUAUCAAGUUAUUAUUGACAUCUAUACGCUCUAAGAUAUACUAGUAUUUGAAUGACCAAAAGCAGCUCAUUGAUUCGUUGACCUCUUUGCAAGAUUGUUCACUUCCAUUGAAAUACUAUCUUAGAGGUUGCUUUAUUGUGCUUCAGCACUCCAUCGUUUCUGGUUUGCAGUUUAGUUUCUGAAGUCUGAAUGUGAACCCUUUACCUUCUCUGCGAGACCACCGUGAGACCACGCGAAAGUUGUUUGCUACGACACCAUCACUAUCUUCAAUCAAUGGCUCCAAUUGCAGUGAGAGAUGUGAUUCCAGAUGGAACGUUAGCACACCUCAAUGACGAACGUAAACCUCAAUCUGUUUCUAUUAAUUCCCUCUCCACCGGUGAAAAAAGUUAUCAUCAUUGUUGUUCUUGGUGCUUUCACUCCCCACUUGAAGGUAUUGCCAUGCACGCCCCCCUCAUUCUUUUCAAUUGUUCCUCAAAUCAAGUGGAUUGAUCUCUUGGAAGAGAAAAUUUCAUCAAAUGGAACAUCUGGAACAUAUGAGCCAAUUGACACAAUGAAGACAGUCAAAGAAGAUGAUGAAAGUUGCACAUCAUUGCCACUAUUUGAGCACUUGUACCAAAAUGUCUUGCUUUAUGCUUGAUUAGUAUAAUUGAAUCUGUUAGCAUCAAUGUAUAGGUAGGUUUUUUUUUGCAAUUGAUGCAAUCAUUUGCAUAGGUUGUUGGUAGGCGAAUUUCUAUUAGACUAGUGGACUUUUAAGUUUUUCUAGAUUCAUCAUAGGCAUAUUGGUCCAAGGAUGGGAUAUAAGUUCUACUGAUGACAUUAUUUUUGUUGCAUUUCAAGGUUAAUUGCAUAAAUACAAUUGUAUUCUUUUUGCCUUA